rnacentral:snRNA from 1 species
GUGCACACUUUGGCAGCAAAUAUACUAAAAUUGGAACAAUUCAGAGAUUAUCUUGGUCUCUGCUCAAGGAUGACACAAAUUUAUAAAGUUUUCCAUAUUUUU